rnacentral:rRNA from 1 species
CCUACGGGAGGCUGCAGUAGGGAAUAUUGCUCAAUGGGGGAAACCCUGAAGCAGCAACGCCGCGUGGAGGAUGAAGGUUUUCGGAUUGUACACUCCUUUUGUUAGAGAAGAUAAUGACGGUAUCUAACGAAUAAGCACCGGCUAACUCCGUGCCAGCAGCCGCGGUAAUACGGAGGGUGCAAGCGUUACUCGGAAUCACUGGGCGUAAAGCGCGCGUAGGCGGGAUAGCAAGUCAGAUGUGAAAUCCUAUGGCUUAACCAUAGAACUGCAUUUGAAACUGUUAUUCUAGAGUAUGGGAGAGGUAGGUGGAAUGCUUGGUGUAGGGGUAAAAUCCGUAGAGAUCAAGAGGAAUACUCAUUGCGAAGGCGACCUGCUAGAACAUAACUGACGCUGAUGCGCGAAAGCGUGGGGAGCAAACAGGAUUAGAUACCCCAGUAGUC